UACGUAGGUGACAAGCGUUGUCCGGAUUUACUGGGCGUAAAGAGCGCGCAGGCGGUCGAUCAAGUCGAGUGUGAAAGCCCCCGGCUCAACUGGGGAGGGUCAUUCGAUACUGAUCGACUCGAAGGCAGGAGAGGGUAGUGGAAUUCCCGGUGUAGUGGUGAAAUGCGUAGAUAUCGGGAGGAACACCUGAGGUGAAGACGGGUUGCUGGGCCGACACUGACGCUGAGUGCGCGAAAGCCAGGGGAGCAAACGGG
rnacentral:rRNA from 1 species